rnacentral:rRNA from 1 species
GUUGUUAUCUGAACCUUCUCGCCAUAAAAAGUGGGGGGGCUAAGGUAGCAGUAGUUUUCAUCAUAGUCCACCAGGAUACUCUCUUGGUGUGUACUGGGUGUUAACCUCCUUUUUUCUGGUACUUGCUAUCCAGCAAUGGGUAGUUUUGUCCAGAUAGUUUACUUUGAAAAAAUUAGAGUGUUCAAAGCAGGCAUAAUUGGCAUCAUGAAUACAUUAGCAUGGGAUAAUAGAAUAUGACAUUGGUCUUAUUUUGUUGGUUUCUAAGGCCAAAGUAAUGAUUGAUAGGGAUAGUUGGGGCCGCUCGUAUUGAGUUGUCAGAGGUGAAAUUCUAGGAUUUACUCAAGACGAACUAAUGCGAAAGCAUUCGGCAAGGAUGUUUUUCAUUAAUCAAGAACGAAAGUUGGGGGAUCGAAGAUGAUCAGAUACCGUCGUAGUCUCAACCAUAAACUAUGUCAACCGAGGAUCCGGUAGCGUUACAUGGAUGACCUUCCGGGCACUCUGUGAGAAAUCAUAAGUAUUUGGA